rnacentral:rRNA from 1 species
GAUGAACGCUGGCGGCGUGCCUAAUACAUGCAAGUCGAGCGAACAGACGAGGAGCUUGCUCCUCUGACGUUAGCGGCGGACGGGUGAGUAACACGUGGAUAACCUACCUAUCAGACUGGGAUAACUUCGGGAAACCGGCGCUAAUACCGGAUAAUAUAUUGCACCGCAUGGUUCAAUAGUGAAAGACGGUUUUGCUGUCACUUAUAGAUGGAUCCGCGCCGCAUUAGCUAGUUGGUAAGGUAACGGCUUACCAAGGCGACGAUGCGUAGCCGACCUGAGAGGCUGAUCGGCCACACUGGAACUGAGACACGGUCCAGACUCCUACGGGAGGCAGCAGUAGGGAAUCUUCCGCAACGGGCGAAAGCCUGACGGAGCAACGCCGCGUGAGUGAUGAAGGUCUUCGGAGCGGAAAACUCUGUUAUUAGGGAAGAACAAAUGUGUAAGUAACUAUGCACGUCUUGACGGUACCUAAUCAGAAAGCCACGGCUAACUACGUG